CCUACGGGAGGCAGCAGUGAGGAAUAUUGGUCAAUGGACGAGAGUCUGAACCAGCCAAGUAGCGUGAAGGAUGACUGCCCUAUGGGUUGUAAACUUCUUUUAUAUGGGAAUAAAACGUUCCACGUGUGGGAUUUUGUAUGUACCAUAUGAAUAAGGAUCGGCUAACUCCGUGCCAGCAGCCGCGGUAAUACGGAGGAUCCGAGCGUUAUCCGGAUUUAUUGGGUUUGAAGGGAGCGUAGGUGGAUUGUUAAGUCAGUUGUGAAAGUUUGCGGCUCAACCGUAAAAUUGCAGUUGAAACUGGCAGUCUUGAGUACAGUAGAGGUGGGCGGAAUUCGUGGUGUAGCGGUGAAAUGCUUAGAUAUCACGAAGAACUCCGAUUGCGAAGGCAGUUCACUGGACUGCAACUGACACUGAGGCUCGAAAGUGUGGGUAUCAAACAGGAUUAGAUACCCUAGUAGUC
rnacentral:rRNA from 1 species